CAAGCUAGCGGCGGCCUUCUGCGCCGGUGUUCUGGGCCCCACUGCGUGUCGUUUGCGACCUUCGUGGUUCCCUAAAAGGGCUCUACGUUCGGGAAAGUGGCAUCACCGUGGAUGACAACCUGCCUCCCGGUUUUCAGCCACCAAGUCCUGCAAGUAUCUGUUUCAGUGUUCCCGUUUAUAAGAAGAACCUCGGCUCAGAUUUCACCUCCGAGUCCACCUCAACCACCCAAUUCAGGCGUAUUCUAGCCCCCUCAUCACUCCCUCUCACGAAGACCUCUGUUGUUUCUACGGCAGUCCCACUAGCUGAAAUUUUAUACUACUUCUUGUCUUCCUCCAGUAAAAUGGGACAUGGGUUCGAGCCUGGGUCCGGGAAGAUCCCACAGGCUGCGGAGCAACUCAGCCCAUGCGCCACAACUACUAAGCCCAUGUGCCACAACUACUGAGCUCGCAUGCCACAACUACUGAAGCCCGUGCGCUUAGAGCCCAUGCUCCGCAACAAGAGAAGCCACUGCAAUGAGAAGCCCACGCACCGCAACGAAGAGUAGCCCCCACUUGCCGCAACUAGAGAAAGCCUGUGCACAGCAACAAAGACCCAAUGCGGGCAAAAAUAAAUAAAUAAAUAAAUACUAAAAAAACUCA